rnacentral:misc_RNA from 1 species
GAACUGCGAUAAGUGAUGUGAAUUGCAGACGUACACGAAUCAUCGAACCCUUGAACGCAUUCUGCGCCUCGAAGCUUGUCUUCGGGGCAUAUCUGGGUGAGUGUCGGUUUAACCUCCUUGCAUAAAUUAAUUUAUGCAGCGUUUGAUAGUAAAUUACUGUCGGUUAGACAGAGAUUUUCUAUUAAAAUAAAUCGAUACUCCAGAUUAGAUUUUGGAUUAAAAAAAAAGAGUAACCCUCUAGAUUGGUUAGGAGUAACUUUGUUUACUAUUCUUCUCAUUCUAGUACGGCCUGCUCGUAAUCCAAAAUUUUUAGUCGAAAGGUUGUUUUUUAAUCUCGUUUGAAAUUAAAAAUAUUAAUCCUAAACCUUCGACCUCACCCAGGUAAGACUACCCGCUGAAUUUAAGC